CCUACGGGGGACAGCAGUGGGGAAUAUUGCACAAUGGGGGAAACCCUGAUGCAGCGACGCCGCGUGAGUGAAGAAGUAAUUCGGUAUGUAAAGCUCUAUCAGCAGGGAAGAAAAUGACGGUACCUGAGUAAGAAGCCCCGGCUAACUACGUGCCAGCAGCCGCGGUAAUACGUAGGGGGCAAGCGUUAUCCGGAUUUACUGGGUGUAAAGGGAGCGUAGACGGCAGUGCAAGUCUGGAGUGAAAGGCGGGGGCUCAACCCCCGGACUGCUCUGGAAACUGUACGGCUGGAGUGCAGGAGAGGUAAGUGGAAUUCCUAGUGUAGCGGUGAAAUGCGUAGAUAUUAGGAGGAACACCAGUGGCGAAGGCGGCUUACUGGACUGUAACUGACGUUGAGGCUCGAAAGCGUGGGGAGCAAACAGGAUUAGAUACCCGUGUAGUC
rnacentral:rRNA from 1 species